rnacentral:rRNA from 1 species
GACGAACGCUGGCGGCGUGCCUAAUACAUGCAAGUCGAGCGAAUCAAUAGGAGCGCAGCUCUUUUGGUUAGCGGCGGACGGGUGAGUAACACGUGGGCGACCUGCGUGUAAGACUGGGAUAACUUCGGGAAACCGGAGCUAAUACCGGAUAAUCCUUUUCCACUCAUGUGGAAAAGCUGAAAGUCGGUUUCGGCUGACACUUACAGAUGGGCCCGCGGCGCAUUAGCUAGUUGGUGAGGUAACGGCUCACCAAGGCGACGAUGCGUAGCCGACCUGAGAGGGGGAUCGGCCACACUGGGACUGAGACACGGCCCAGACUCCUACGGGAGGCAGCAGUAGGGAAUCUUCCGCAAUGGACGAAAGUCUGACGGAGCAAUGCCGCGUGAGCGAUGAAGGCCUUCGGGUCGUAAAGCUCUGUUGUUAGGGAAGAACAAGUAUCGGAGUAACUGCCGGUACCUUGACGGUACCUAACCAGAAAGCCACGGCUAACUACGUGCCAGCCGCCGCCGUAACAC